rnacentral:rRNA from 1 species
UAUGAUCCAGAGUACCACGGGACACGUGAAACCCUGUGGGAAGCAGGAGGGACCACCCUCCAAGGCUAAAUACUACCUAGUGACCGAUAGCGUAUAGUACCGUGAGGGAAAGGUGAAAAGAACCCCGGGAGGGGAGUGAAAUAGAACCUGAAACCCUGCACUUACAAGCUGUGGAAGCACAUUUCUUGUGUGACCGCGUACUUUUUGUAGAACGGGCCAACGAGUUACGUUAAGUAGCAAGGUUAAGCACUUAAGGGGCGGAGCCGUAGCGAAAGCGAGUUUUAACUGAGCGUUCAGUUACUUGACGUAGACCCGAAACCGGGCGACCUACCCAGGAGCAGGAUGAAGCGAAAGUAAAAUUUCGUGGAGGUCCGAACCCACGAGCGUUGAAAAGCUCGGGGAUGACUUGUGGGUAGCGGUGAAAUUCCAAUCGAGCCCGGAGAUAGCUGGUUCUCCCCGAAAUAGCUUUAGGGCUAGCCUCAAGGUGAGAGAUACGGAGGUAGAGCACUGAAUGUCCUAGGGGGUAUUGCACCUACCGAAGACUAUCAAACUCCGAAUGCCGUCAUCUUAUACUUGGGAGUCAGACUGUGGGUGAUAAGAUUCAUAG